AUUAGGGUUCACGGGUUGAGUUGA
rnacentral:siRNA from 1 species